rnacentral:lncRNA from 1 species
UGCAUUCUCUCCAAUUUUCUAGAACCUUCUUACCUUGCCAUGAUCUUACACGGCAAGUUAUCUUCUAGAAUGUUCCAAAUAUGCAUUGCAUAUUUCAACACUAAAUUUCUUUGAGUUUGACCCUACUAUUGUAACUUGUGGUGAAUAAUUUACUAACCACGUAUUUCCCUAUGAAUUUUCGGUACACCAACUUAAAUCAUGUCAUCAGUUACAAAC